CAGGUCUCUGCUCAAAUUGCCCUUCCACAGAGGUGCUCGUGGUAUAUAAAUUGGAAUUCCACCCACUCACUCUUUUUCCCCAUCCCUUGUUUUGUUUUUAUUCAUAGCAUUAAUCAUUGCCUGAAACUACAUUAUAUAUUUCAUUCAUUCAUUCAUUCAUUCAUUUAUUCAGCAGAUACGUGCCAAGCCUCUGCUUUGAGUGAGGCACUGUUCUAGGGGUGGGGUCUACACCCAAUAGCCAAGAUACACAAAGGUCCUGCUCACAAGGAGCUUACAUCCCAGCAGAGGAAAACGGAUCUUCAGCAACUUGGCAAAUAAAGGAAUCCUAUACUGGGACGGUAGGUGCUGGAAGAUAAAUGAUGCAGCAUAAAGAAAACAUGGAGACAUGGCAGGUGGGGCUUGGGGCAUGCCUUUUUUAUCUGUCCAGUGAACAUAGAGUCUGACAAGUAAAGCGACAUUUGAGUAGAGACACUGAAGAGAGUGUCACAACCAGAGGAGACAGCAAGCAAACUGGUGUGACCAGGACAUUAAGGGAGCCUGAGUCUUGACUGAGGGAAUAAGGAAAGGCGUGAGAGGUGUCACAUGGCCAGGACACAUAGGGUUUUGAGACCCAUGGUAAAGAUUCUGGCCUUUACUGUGAGUGAAAAGGGAGGUCAUGCAGGGCUUGGAGCAAAAGGUGGGCAUGACUGAGGGGCCCGGGAGGAGAAACAAAGAUGGCAGUUAAGGGCCCUGCAAAACUGCAGGAGAGACAAGAGACCUGCACCAACGUGGUGGGGGUAGAGGCAGUGAGUUUCAGAUUCUGAUACAAUCUGAAGGAAGAACCAGCAGGAUCUGCUGAUGUAUGGGGUAUGGCGCAAGAGAGAAAGAGUAGAAUCAAUUUGACUCCAUGUUUUGGCUUGAACAACUAAAAGAAUGGACUGGUGUUGUUAUUGUUGUUGUUGUUGUUUGAAACGGAGGAGAAUGAGAGAGGAACAGGUUGAGAAGGGGCCAGGAAAUUCAUAGUUCCAUUUGGGGCAUAGUAAGCUUGAGAAGCCUGGUUUGGCUUCUGGUAGAUAUGUCAAGCAGGCAGUUGAAUCUAUGACUCAAGAAUUCAGAGGAGAGGUUUGAGCAUCAUCAGCAAAUUGAUAGCAUUUGAAAGCAUGAUAUAGGAUUUAUUUAUUGUCUUUCGGUCCUACCAUGAGGGUCGGGACAUUGUUUUGUGUUGUUCUAUCUGUAAUUUCCAGAAGAGUGCCUGGUGCAGAGGCAUUGCUCAGUAAAUAUUUUGAAUGAAUGAGUGCUUCAGUAGACAGCAUCUAGCACAUGAUCGGUACAUUAUAAAUACUUGAUGACUGAAUGGAUAAUGGCUCUCCAGAGGGGUUAGCACAAUACCUGGUAUACGGCAGCUUUGCAAUACAUACUGGGUGGAUGAUUGACAGUUUCAACAUGAUUCUAUACAGAACUGGAUUGCCUGUCUCCAGGACCAGAUGUGAGAACAAAGAAGCCAUAAAAUGUGCUAGACGUAGCAUCAUGUAAGCAAAAACCAGCCCAUGUCCCUGAUGUAUGGACAGUGUUAAGCAUGUCUUCUUAAUCAUCAACAUGACCUAGAAUAAAGACAUAUGUGAAUUCCCCCCACUCCAGUCCUGGCGCGGAAGCCGUGUGUACCAUGCUCUUCAUAGCCCCAGUCAACUGAAAGAGCAUGGCCAGGCUGCCUUCCCUGUCUACGUUGUGAGAAGGCAUAAAAGGAUGGCUGUGAGAGAGGUCUCAAGAGUAAAAGUGCUAUAAGUC